AGGGGAGCCGCAGGGAAACCGAGUCUUAACUGGGCGUUAAGUUGCAGGGUAUAGACCCGAAACCCGGUGAUCUAGCCAUGGGCAGGUUGAAGGUUGGGUAACACUAACUGGAGGACCGAACCGACUAAUGUUGAAAAAUUAGCGGAUGACUUGUGGCUGGGGGGGAAAGGCCAAUCAAACCGGGAGAUAGCUGGUUCUCCCCGAAAGCUAUUUAGGUAGCGCCUCGUGAACUCAUCUUCGGGGGUAGAGCACUGUUUCGGCUAGGGGGUCAUCCCGACUUACCAACCCGAUGCAAACUACGAAUACCGAAGAAUGUUAUCACGGGAGACACACGGCGGGUGCUAACGUCCGUCGUGAAGAGGGAAACAACCCAGACCGCCAGCUAAGGUCCCAAAGUCAUGGUUAAGUGGGAAACGAUGUGGGAAGGCACAGACAGCCAGGAUGUUGGCUUAGAAGCAGCCAUCAUUUAAAGAAAGCGUAAUAGCUCACUGGUCGAGUCGGCCUGCGCGGAAGAUGUAACGGGGCUAAACCAUGCACCGAAGCUGCGGCAGCGACACUAUGUGUUGUUGGGUAGGGGAGCGUUCUGUAAGCCUGCGAAGGUGACCUGUGAGGGUUGCUGGAGGUAUCAGAAGUGCGAAUGCUGACAUAAGUAACGAUAAAGCGGGUGAAAAGCCCGCUCGCCGGAAGACCAAGGGUUCCUGUCCAACGUUAAUCGGGGCAGGGUGAGUCGACCCCUAAGGCGAGGCCGAAAGGCGUAGUCGAUGGGAAACAGGUUAAUAUUCCUGUACUUGGUGUUACUGCGAAGGGGGGACGGAGAAGGCUAUGUUAGCCGGGCGACGGUUGUCCCGGUUUAAGCAUGUAGGCUGGUUAUCCAGGCAAAUCCGGAUAAUCAAGGCUGAGGUGUGAUGACGAGGCACUACGGUGCUGAAGUAACAAAUGCCCUGCUUCCAGGAAAAGCCUCUAAGCAUCAGGUAACAUCAAAUCGUACCCC
rnacentral:rRNA from 1 species